rnacentral:rRNA from 1 species
GUGGGGAAUAUUGGUCAAUGGGCGAGAGCCUGAACCAGCCAAGUAGCGUGCAGGAUGACGGCCCUAUGGGUUGUAAACUGCUUUUAUGCGGGGAUAAAGUUCACUACGUGUAGUGUUUUGUAGGUACCGCAUGAAUAAGGACCGGCUAAUUCCGUGCCAGCAGCCGCGGUAAUACGGAAGGUCCGGGCGUUAUCCGGAUUUAUUGGGUUUAAAGGGAGCGCAGGCCGGAGGUCAAGCGUGACGUGAAAUGUAGCCGCUCAACGGCUGAACUGCGUCGCGAACUGGCUUUCUUGAGUGAGUUCGAUGUGGGCGGAAUUCGUGGUGUAGCGGUGAAAUGCUUAGAUAUCACGAAGAACUCCGAUUGCGAAGGCAGCCCACAAGGCCUUUACUGACGCUAAAGCUCGAAGGUGCGGGUAUCGAACAGG